GCUUACGGCCAUACCACCCUGAGAACGCCCGAUCUCGUCUGAUCUCGCAAGCUAAGCAGGGUCGGGCCUGGUUAGUACUUCGAUGGGAGACCGCCUGGGAAUACCAGGUGCUGUAAGCU
ensembl:rRNA 5S_rRNA 5S ribosomal RNA